rnacentral:lncRNA from 1 species
AAAUUUUGUCUUUACCCGUUUACGCAAUGGUUCGUUUGUGGACGUAAACCAUAUAGAGUUUUUUUUUUAUAUGCCGGUGUGUAGGUGAAGAUGCGGACAUCAAACUAUAAUACCUAUUCCGAAGGCUCCCAUGUGAUGGAAUACGGUAACAACAGUAUUAAGUCGGAGAAGCUUUAUAAUUAUACCAAGGAUUCGAUCCAGCCACUGUUAAUCUCCCUCCUAACGAGUUACCGGUGAAGUCACCUGUGGGAGUUGUGAACCAACGUGACGCAGACCUUCUAUUCCUUUGGCACAUGGUAUUGGUCUAUCAUGUUUUGCUUAUUUUCGGUUAUUUAAAUCGACUGUAACGAUUUGGUUUUGUUUAAACCAUAUUGCCUUUGGGGUUUAAAGUACCAAACAUCAGAAGAUGGGUCAAGGAAGGAUGAGAUAUUGAAGGAAUUAACCGAGACAACAAGGCACAGAAAACAUGUAGACACAAGUGUGGAAUUGAUAGGCACGGUUCUCUUUGGUCCCUUGACUAAUGUUCUUAACUCGGUCAGAGAACCCGGAUUGCCAUUGGUCGACGAUUGGGAAUGUCUUAAGUCAAUGGUAAGAGUUUCUCAUUCCUUUCUUGUUCAUACUUUUAUUGUUCCACUUUACUUAAUACUUGAAAUUUCUUAGGUACGUAUAUUUGAGAUGCAUUGUGGAUGGCUAACGCAAUACGGGAUGAAACAUAUGAGAGCGUUUGCAAACAUUUGUAACAACGGUGUCUCAAAGGAGCUAAUGGAGGAAGCUUCCGCUGCUGCAUGCGGUGGUUAUGAGGCCCGCUUCAUGUCGCACCCCUCUGUUGUGGGCUAUAGCGCUUAAAAGUCAUGAUCUUUAAGUGUUUUCAAGUAAUCAUGUUAGGAUAGUUGUAUGUUAAUACCGAAAAUGCGUAACAAUAAGGUAUUUCCUCCUCGUUUUUCGUUGUUUAAUUUUGUGUAGGGUUUUGUAGUUCCUUUUUUUUUUUUGAGUUUUGUAGUUCCUUUCCCGAUAAUGUCAUCAACAUAUAUUUUUGACAGACAAUACUUUUAAGUAGAUGGUAACGAGUCUUUUGUCUCUUUACAAAAUUUUAGACUAGAGCCUUUAAGACUAAAGAGAAAUCUGAGUAUAAAAUCUCAUGAUUUGAGCAAAUAAUCCAUUUUGAAUCAUUCUAUUUUUGUUUCGUAAGCUUUGAAGCCGUUUUGGUGAUUACUAACACUGAAAUAGUGAUGGAAAAUCCGAGAAAUAGUGAACCAUAAACUGAACCGAGAUUAUCAUAAACCAAUUUCCUUUAGUAAAAAUUUUAAAAGAUGAAAUUUCCAAGUAAACCUAAAUUAUUUCGUUAACCACCCGAUGUGCACAUCACCGAUGAUAGUUGUUCGGUUUAAUAUCAAAGCAUAAACCGGUUUUGGUUUCCCAAAUUCCCGGUUACCAUUCCAUCUCUCUCUCUCUCUCUCUCCAUAAACAUGUCUCGUUUUAGGAUUCGGAAUCAGAGAGACAAUCGCAAAACGAUGCAGAGAUCGAUUGCGAUGACGGCGAAGACAUUGCUUCAUCGGAAUCUUUUCGAAAAUAGUAAACGCAAAAGCGCUCUCCCUUCUCUCGGUUGCUGGGUACGAGCUUUCUCCAGCGUGAUUGAUCUCCGUGAGAGACUGAGCAGAAACCGUCGUCGUGAUAUCAAACUAGAUGACGCUAUCGAUUUGUUCAACGACAUGGCCAAAUCUCGCCCCUUCCCUUCAAUCAUCGAUCUCAAUAAACUGUUGAACGCCAUUAUCAAACUGAAGAAGUACGAGGUCGUCAUCUCUCUGUGGAAAAAGAUGGAAGCUGUAUGGAUUCGAAAUGAUCUCUACAUGUUCAAUACAUUGAUUAACUGCCUAAGUAGCUGGUUUCUGUUGACGUGAAGAGAAUAAAGAGCAAGACUAAAAACAUGAAGAACCUGAUUGAUCAUGGACAGAAAAUCAUGGACAAGAAAUCAUGGACAGGAAAACUGAAGCAACUAAAGGUGUGAGACUAAUUUAAAUAUCUUGCCUGAAGUCUUGGACGAAUUUAAAUAAGUGGAAGCAACUGGAUAGAGCUAUUGGAGUGUGGAAACAAACCAAAGUAACAUGAUAUGCUAAGGAAGGAAAAGAGAAGAGAGUUGUCGCUAUCCGAAAGUGAUUUCGCAAGAUCUGGUCUUCAUAAGUUUAUUCAUCUUCAUUUGUUUGUUCAUUCUCAUUGUCUUAUUCUCUUUGCUAAAUCUAUUUAUGUAACUAUUGUAUACAUUAAAUCUAUCUAAGGAAAAAUGUUCCUCAAAUAUUCUUGUCUCUCUCUCUUGGAUUUCCUCACAUAUCUCUCUUAGUUCUUCCCCAAAAUCUCUCAAAUAAUUCUCAUAAACUCUCAUUAAUUUUCAUAGAUUUUCAUGGUAUCAGAGCCACAAGCUCUUGAAACCUAAAUCUCUUCCGCAAAUUGCUCUAGUUUUAUUUCUCUUUUCCUCUUUAAAAUCUCUUAUCAUUCACACCAGUCUCUCUCCUCUGUUCUUGAACUGUUCUUCAUUUUUUUCCAAUUCUGUUCUUGUGAUUCUUGAUGGAUUCAGGAGAAAACUCAAGAAUAGUGGUGAUUCAAGUUACUCUUAAAGGAGCUAACUAUCUACAUUGGGCAAGGCUUGCCAAGACAGCUCUUGGAGGCAGAGGGCUUUGGGAGAUUGUUGAAGAAGGCAGGCCACAAAAGAAGACUAUCCUAGGCGAGGAUGACAAAGAGGUUGUUCUUGCUGAUGCUGAUGCCAAGAAGAAAUGUCAAGAGGACCAGUUAGUGUUGUCCAUUCUUCAGCACAGUCUUGACCCCUCACUUCAGGAAGGUUACUCCUUUUGUGAAACUUCCAAGGAGCUGUGGGAUACACUUCAGAAGGUAUAUGGAAACAAUUCCAACAUCAGUAGAGUCUUUGAAGUCAAGAGGGAUAUCAAUACUCUUAGUCAAGAGGACAAUGAUUUUGUUAAACAUUUUAGGAAGUUCAGAUCCUUGUGGGCUGAACUUGAGAUGCUCAGGCCAGCAACUAUUGAUCCUGAUGUGCUUAAUCAAAGGAGAGAGCAAGACAAGGUCUUUGCUUUGCUGCUUACCCUUCAUCCAAGCUAUGGUGACCUCAUCAAGCACAUCCUAAGAAAUAAGGAGCUACCUUCUCUAGAUGAGUUAUGCUCUGAGAUUCACAAGGAGCAAGGCUCAGUUGGUUUCUUUGGAGGAGGAAAGAAAGAUCUGGUGCUUGCAAACCAAGCUGAUGGAGCAGCAAACAAAAGCUCUUACAAAGCUGAAGACAAGAAGGUGUGGAUUUGUGAUCAUUGCAAGAAGAAAGGACAAGUGCUGGAUACUCCAUCCCCAUCUCAAGCCACAAAAGUUCAAGACAGGUUACAAUGAUGCCAAAGCAAACUUCUCUGGUGAUAUUGGUGUGCCAUCUAUACAAGGCAGCAUGCGCCAGACCAAUGAAGCUUGUGAGAACAAAGGGGGAGCUUCCAGGAGUGGCUCAACCUUAAGGAACACUCAAGAUGAGACCAUCAGGAGAUGUGAUAUUGAGACUCUCAUCAAACUCCUUAAGGAUAACUCUGGUAACUUACUUGGUACCUCUUUACAUGCUACUGCUUGUGGAACUUCCUUGAAUGGGAUAACUAAAUUUAAUUUGGCAAAACCUUUAGUUAUAGAUUCAGGAGCUAGUCACCACAUGAUCAGUGAUUUAAAAUUGAUUAAAAACAUUGUCCCUGCCUUAGGAAAUGUUACAAUAGCUAAUGGUGAAAGAGUACCAAUUAAAGGAGUAGGUGAUCUUAGGUUGUUUAACAAAGAUUCUAAGGCUUUCUAUAUGCCUAGCUUCACCUCAAACUUGUUAUCAUUUAAAAGAGCUACUAAUGACUUGAAUUGCAGUGUUACUUUCACUCCUAAUGAUGUCUACUUUCAGGAUAUUGAAACUAGUAGGUUGCUUGGCAAAGGUGUCACUAAGAGAGACUUGUACUUGCUUGAAAAUACUAAGCUUGCUGCCGAUUUAUCCCAUGCUUUAAAUUCUAUUUCUGAUUUCCCUAAAGAUAUAUUGUGGCAUGCUAGAUUAGGAUAUCCCCAUUCUAGAGCUUUAAACAUCAUGUUGCCUAGUAUUUCUUUUAAGAGUGAUUGUGAGGCUUGUAUCUUAGGCAAACAUUGCAAAUCUGUUUUCUCUAGAUCAAGUACUAUUUAUGAAAAUUGCUUUGACUUGAUUCACUCUGAUGUAUGGACUGCCCCAUGUUUAUCUAGAGAGCAUCAUAAGUAUUUUGUGACUUUUAUAGAUGAAAAAUCAAAAUAUACUUGGAUCACACUGAUGCAAUCUAAAGAUAGGGUCUUAGAAGCUUUCAUAAAUUUUCAAAAUUAUGUAUCUAACCAUUUCAAUGCCAAGAUAAAAAUUUUGAGAUCAAAUAAUGGAGGAGAAUACACAAGCAUUGCUUUUAAACAACACUCGGCCAAAUAUGGAAUGAUCCAUCAAACUAGCUGUCCAUACACCCCACAACAAAAUGGAGUAGCUGAGAGGAAAAAUAGACAUCUCAUGGAGGUUGCAAGAAGUAUGAUGUUCCAUACAAGCAUGCCCAAAAGCUAUUGGGGGAGAUGAUGUCCUUACUGCUCACAACUUAAAGAAAGAGACUGUAAAGCAACAAUACCAAACGGUAAAUGAAAUUUUGUCUUUACCCGUUUACGCAAUGGUUCGUUUGUGGACGUAAACCAUAUAGAGUUUUUUUUUUUUAUGCCGGUGUGUAGGUGAAGAUGCGGACAUCAAACUAUAAUACCUAUUCCGAAGGCUCCCAUGUGAUGGAAUACGGUAACAACAGUAUUAAGUCGGAGAAGCUUUAUCUAUACCAAGGAUUCGAUCCAGCCACUGUUAAUCUCCCUCGUAACGAGUUACCGGUGAAGUCACCUGUGGGAGUUGUGAACCAACGUGACGCAGACCUUCUAUUCCUUUGGCACAUGGUAUUGGUCUAUCAUGUUUUGCUUAUUUUCGGUUAUUUAAAUCGACUGUAACGAUUUGGUUUUGUUUAAACCAUAUUGCCUUUGGGGUUUAACAGUACCAAACAUCUGAAGAUGGGUCAAGGAAGGAUGAGAUAUUGAAGGAAUUAACCGAGACAACAAGGCACAGAAAACAUGUAGACACAAGUGUGGAAUUGAUAGGCACGGUUCUCUUUGGUCCCUUGACUAAUGUUCUUAACUCGGUCAGAGAACCCGGAUUGCCAUUGGUCGACGAUUGGGAAUGUCUUAAGUCAAUGGUAAGAGUUUCUCAUUCCUUUCUUGUUCAUACUUUUAUUGUUCCACUUUACUUAAUACUUGAAAUUUCUUAGGUACGUAUAUUUGAGAUGCAUUGUGGAUGGCUAACGCAAUACGGGAUGAAACAUAUGAGAGCGUUUGCAAACAUUUGUAACAACGGUGUCUCAAAGGAGCUAAUGGAGGAAGCUUCCGCUGCUGCAUGCGGUGGUUAUGAGGCCCGCUUCAUGUCGCACCCCUCUGUUGUGGGCUAUAGCGCUUAAAAGUCAUGAUCUUUAAGUGUUUUCAAGUAAUCAUGUUAGGAUAGUUGUAUGUUAAUACCGAAAAUGCGUAACAAUAAGGUAUUUCCUCCUCGUUUUUCGUUGUUUAAUUUUGUGUAGGGUUUUGUAGUUCCUUUUUUUUUUUUGAGUUUUGUAGUUCCUUUCCCGAUAAUGUCAUCAACAUAUAUUUUUGACAGACAAUACUUUUAAGUAGAUGGUAACGAGUCUUUUGUCUCUUUACAAAAUUUUAGACUAGAGCCUUU